AGCGAACGCUGGCGGCAGGCCUAACACAUGCAAGUCGAACGAAGUCUUCGGACUUAGUGGCGGACGGGUGAGUAACACGUGGGAACGUGCCUUUAGGUUCGGAAUAACUCAGGGAAACUUGUGCUAAUACCGAAUGUGCCCUUCGGGGGAAAGAUUUAUCGCCUUUAGAGCGGCCCGCGUCUGAUUAGCUAGUUGGUGGGGUAAUGGCCCACCAAGGCUACGAUCAGUAGCUGGUCUGAGAGGACGACCAGCCACAUUGGGACUGAGCACACGGCCCAAACUCCUACGGGAGGCAGCAGUGGGGAAUCUUGCGCAAUGGGCGAAAGCCUGGCGCAGCCAUGCCGCGUGGAUGAUGAAGGUCUUAGGAUUGUAAAAUCCUUUCACCGGUGAAGAUAAUGACUGUAGCCGGAGAAGAAGCCCCGGCUAACUUCGUGCCAGCCGCCGCCGUAAUAC
rnacentral:rRNA from 1 species